rnacentral:rRNA from 1 species
UAGGGAAUCUUCGGCAAUGGGGGCAACCCUGACCGAGCAACGCCGCGUGAGUGAAGAAGGUUUUCGGAUCGUAAAGCUCUGUUGUAAGAGAAGAACGAGUGUGAGAGUGGAAAGUUCACACUGUGACGGUAACUUACCAGAAAGGGACGGCUAACUACGUGCCAGCAGCCGCGGUAAUACGUAGGUCCCGAGCGUUAUCCGGAUUUAUUGGGCGUAAAGCGAGCGCAGGCGGUUAGAUAAGUCUGAAGUUAAAGGCUGUGGCUUAACCAUAGUACGCUUUGGAAACUGUUUAACUUGAGUGCAGAAGGGGAGAGUGGAAUUCCAUGUGUAGCGGUGAAAUGCGUAGAUAUAUGGAGGAACACCGGUGGCGAAAGCGGCUCUCUGGUCUGUAACUGACGCUGAGGCUCGAAAGCGUGGGGAGCAAACAGGAUUAGAUACCCUGGUAGUCCACGCCGUAACGAUGAGUGCUAGGUGUUGGGUCCUUUCCGGGACUCAGUGCCGCAGCUAACGCAUUAAGCACUCCGCCUGNNAGUACGACCGCAAGGUU